GAUGAACGCUGGCGGCAUGCCUAAGACAUGCAAGUCGAACGAGGUGGCCCAUUGAAGUUGGAGUGCUUGCACAAAAAUGGAUUUGGAUUUUCCACCUAGUGGCAAACGGGUGAGUAACACGUGGGUUACCUGCCCUUAAGUUGGGGAUAACAGUUGGAAACGAUUGCUAAUACCGAAUGUGCUCUUCGGAGUAAAGAAGCCCUUAAAGCUUCGCUUAAGGAUGGGCCUGCGGUGCAUUAGCUUGUUGGUGGGGUAAUGGCCUACCAAGGCAACGAUGCAUAGCCGAACUGAGAGGUUGAUCGGCCACACUGGGACUGAGACACGGCCCAG
rnacentral:rRNA from 1 species